AGAGAAGUGUGCACAGUGACUGCAGCUCUGGAGGGCACUAGAGAAGGUGGCACAGUGACUGCAGCUCUGGAGGUGACUGGAGAAGUGCGCACAGUGACUGCGGCUCUGGAGGUGACUAGAGAAGUGCGCACAGUGACUGCAGCUCUGGAGGUGACUGGAGAAGUGCGCACAGUGACUGCAGCUCUGGAGGUGACUGGAGAAGUGCGCACAGUGACUGCGGCUCUGGAGGUGACUAGAGAAGUGCGCACAGUGACUGCGGCUCUGGAGGUGACUAGAGAAAGAAGUGCGCACAAUGACUGCAGCUCUGGAGGUGACUAGAGAAGUGCGCACAAUGACUGCGGCUCUGGAGGUGACUAGAGAAGUGCGCACAGUGACUGCAGCUCUGGAGGUGACUGGAGAAGUGCGCACAGUGACUGCGGCUCUGGAGGUGACUAGAGAAGUGCGCACAGUGACUGCGGCUCUGGAGGUGACUAGAGAAGUGCGCACAAUGACUGCAGCUCUGGAGGUGACUAGAGAAGUGCGCACAGUGACUGCAGCUCUGGAGGUGACUAGAGAAGUGUGCACAGUGACUGCAGCUCUGGAGGUGAGUAGAGUAGUCCCCACAGUGACUGCAGCUCUGG